UUGAAGGAAAAUCUUGUUAACACUCUAGCGGUCUCAUUCAUGACUGUAUCUUCAUGAAAGUUGGUCAGAAUGUUUACUUUAAUUAUUUCUAAGUCAAGUUUAAAUCUGGGUCAUGUGCGGUCAAAAUCUAGGUCAUUGGGUCAAAUCAUAGGAAAAGCUUGUUAGCACUCUAGAGGUCACAUUUAUGACUGUAAGUCCAUGAAACUUAGUCAGAAUGUUUAUAUUGAUUAGCUCUAGGCCAAGUUUGAAUCUGGGUCAUGUGCGGUCAAAAACUAGGUCACCAAAUAGGAAAAGUAUUUUUACACUCUAGAGGCCACAUUUAAGACCAUAUGUUCAUGGAACUUGAUCAGAGUGUUAUUGUUGAUGAUCUUUAUUGGAUCAGGUGAGCGAUUCAGGGCCUUCAGGGCCCUCUUGUUUAUAUAUCAGGAUUGUUAGGACUCACGUUUAAUUGUUCAACUUAUGGAAUAAUUUGUCUUAGCUCCUUGCAAAACAUUGUGAAAUUAAAAAUGUGCAGUGCACUAAUACAAUUACCGGUAUUUCUUGUGUUUAAAAUAGCUGAUAAGAGAUUUUGUUACAGUUCCUAAUUUAGCAUUUAAGACCUCUGCUCAGCGAUUACACUUCAUUUCUAUAGUACUCUUUUUCAAAAUGGUUAAUACUUAUGUCAUUUGAAAUAUGUAAGAAAUGGGUAUUUUUUUAUCACUUGAAACCUUUUUUUCAGAAGAAUUGAAUGCAUGUAAUGAAGUUUUUGGUUCAAAAUAUUUAUCUUUUAUACAUUUCUUUCUCAGGUAACAUGUGCACAAGUUGCAGGAUGCAACAAGAUCAGCUGUUCCCAUACUGAUGGCUAUGAAGAACCAGUUCCCCACUGAUGGAGAUAUAUUAUGAAAAUGUUUUUGGUGUUGGCCAGAUUUAGAUACACUGUGUUGUGUUUGGCCAGAAAUGCAGAGUGGUAACACCAGUCACCUAAGCCAAUAUUGCCCUCACAGACAAGAGUGUGAAGUAACAGCCCCUGCAGUUUACAGCAAAGCCCUCAACUGUAGCCCUACAAACUUCAUAUACUGCCGAUGGCGUAGAUGCAGUGAACUUUGCCAGAUUUCCAGCUAUGUUGAAUUGACAUCUCCAGCUGAACUAGAGCCAGGAUUGAUAUCAGACUGCUUGACAGCACGGACCUCUUUCUUGGGUGGAUGGAUUCAGAGAUGACCUACAGAUGCAGCCAUGACUGUGGCACAUGAAUGUUAUAGAUGGUGACUGUAAAGAAAUGAAGAUAGCAGAAAAAUGAAACUAUCUUAAUAUGGUUUUCUGGAAUUAAAUUAGCAGACAAAGUAUUCAUAUUUUUGUGGAAAAAUAAUGUCAUAGCUGAAAUAUGUUUUGCAAAUUCAAAAUGGUAAUGUUUUUCUCAUAUUUUAUGCUGGCAUCACAAAUAUUAUCAUUGGCUCUGUAUACGGUAAUCUCUCACUUCAAAACAUAACUAAUUGGACUAUUUGAAGAUUAAAUCUUCAUUAUUUUUAUUUAAUAUAAAAUGCUAUGCUGGUUUUACUGUCUUAAAUAAUGUUACU